AACGAACGCUGGCGGCAUGCCUAACACAUGCAAGUCGAACGAAACCUUCGGGUCUAGUGGCGCCCGGGUGCGUAACGCGUGGGAACCUGCCCUUAGGUUCGGCAUAACUCCCCGACAGGGGUGCUAAUACCGGAUAAUAUCUUCGGCCCAAAGAUUUAUCGCCUUUGGAUGGGCCCGCGUUGGAUUAGCUAGUUGGUAGGGUAAAAGCCUAACAAGGCGACGAUCCAUAGCUGGUCUGAGAGGAUGAUCAGCCACACUGAGACUGAGACACGGCCCAGACUCCUACGGGAGGCAGCAGUGGGGAAUAUUGGACAACGGGCGAAAGCCUGAUCCAGCAAUGCCGCGUGAGUGAUGAAGGUCGUAGGGUUGUAAAGCGCUUUUACCCGGGAUGAUAAUGACAGUACCGGGAGAAUAAGCUCCGGCUAACUCCGUG
rnacentral:rRNA from 1 species